rnacentral:lncRNA from 1 species
CUUUUUACAUAAGCAAAUUAUAGUUACCGGGUGACAAACCACUCGAGUAAGUCACGAGUCAUUUUCUAAGCCAAUUCUCUUUUUUCAAGUCUUUAUCUUAGUCUAUUAUCAAGUCAAUCAGAGUAUCACAGGUCUGUCAUCCAGUCUAACAGAAUCCUGACCUUAUCAACACGUCCCAUUUCCUCUCUGUGUCAACGAUCAACCAUCUCAGUCUAGCAGAAACUAAACAAUCUUAACAGUCUUCAAAAUGUCUCAAAGACUAAUCAAAAGUUACCAAGAGUACCUUCAAACAAAACACAUCCAAGCAAACUCAGUCCCUUCACCUCCACUACAGUACGUAUCGGUGACUCUACAUUUUGUAUCUCACAAAAGUAAUAAAAAUCUUUGGAUAAUUGGUUCUAGUACUUAUAAUCAUAUUACUGGUAACCAUUCCUAGUUUACUUUUCCUGGUAACAGUGAGGCAGCUGUUAUAGUCUGCUAAAUAUACGUUGGGCAUUCUUCAUUGCCUACUUGAAGUACGGAACCCAUAUUUACAAUCUUUACUUCUCUAUUAUUGUUAGGGUUGGGUUGCCAGGUUAACACCCCCCGUUGCCUCUGUACCUGAGACAGAUACGUUGUGCUACACAGUGCCUAACCUUGUCUCCCCUACUCCUCUUAUGGUUGUGCCAUAUUAGCACUUAGUCCGUUUGCUCAAAUGAACAAACAGCAAAACAUCCUUGUGAAACAUCCUAGAAGUCGGUAUUUAUUUAUAACAAGCUUGGUGCAUAAAAGUAAACGCUUGUAUUAUAUGCUCCAAUCUGAAGAAUGGUGGUGGGCAAAACAUCCUAGUUGGUAUUUAUUUAUAACAAGCUUGGCGCAUAAAAGUAAACGCUUGUAUUAUAUGCUCCAAUCCAAAGAAUGGUGGUGGAAAGCAUAUUGGUAAUUCAUGUGGCAGUGCUAGGAAGAAGACUCAACAUAGCCUAACAAAUGGUAAUAUAAGUUAAUAUAGCAUUAGAAAUAGGAAGAAUACGAUACAGGUAGUGCAGGAGCGGAUCCACCCCUGAGGAUGGGGAUUGUAUGGCACCCGAACAUU